rnacentral:rRNA from 1 species
UACAGAGGGUGCAAGCGUUGUUCGGAAUUACUGGGCGUAAAGGGCGCGUAGGCGGCCUUCUAAGUCGAACGUGAAAUCCCCGGGCUCAACCCGGGAACUGCGUCCGAUACUGGAAGGCUUGAAUCUGGGAGAGGGAUGUGGAAUUCCAGGUGUAGCGGUGAAAUGCGUAGAUAUCUGGAGGAACACCGGUGGCGAAGGCGACAUCCUGGACCGGUAUUGACGCUGAGGCGCGAAAGCCAGGGGAGCAAACGGG